rnacentral:tRNA from 1 species
GGGACCGGAAAGCUUGGGGGUUACGUUGACAUGGUAGGGGUCACAGGUUCGAUCCCUGUCGCGCCCACCA